ensembl:lncRNA
CUGGGAUAUACUGGGAUGGACUGGGAGGGUGGAGGGAGGAACUGGGAUAUACUGGGAGGGAAUGGGAAGGAAUGAGAGGGAGUGGUGGGGACUGGGAUAUACUGGGAUGGACUGGGAGGGAGUGGGAGGAAACUGGAAGGGACUGGGAGGGAACUGGGAUGGACUGGGAGGGACUGGGAGGGAGCUGGGAGGGGACUGGGAGGGAAUGGGAGGGACUGGGAUAUACUGGGAGGGACUGGGAUGGACUGGGAGGGAGUGGGAAGGACUGGAUAUACUGGGAUGGAACUGGGAGGGAACUGGGAUAUACUGGGAGGGACUGGGAGGGAGUGGUCUCUGCUGGUCUGUACAGUUCCAUACUGGUCCGUACUGGUGCAUACUGGUCCAUACUGGUUUAUACUGGUCCGUACUGGCCCAUACUGGUCCAUACUGGUGCAUACUGAUCCGUACUGGGCGAGGCGGUGAACCGCAUAGAGCUGCAGGUGCUGCAGUCCGGGACGGCGGUGCUCAAAGGGCAGCAGCAGCUCUGCUCCGCGCGCACACAGCGCCGCCGCGCCACCAGGAAGCGGCUCCUCAUGGCUGCCUGCGUGGCUCUCACCCUCCUCAUCCUCGUGGCCAUCAUCGCCGCUUCCGUGGCUGCCGGCUGAGCCCCGCCCUCCCCACCCCAUGCUUCGUGCUGAUUGGCCGCCGCCGCGCCUUAGCCCCGCCCCCCUCGCUGCCGAUUGGACGCCGCCGCACCCUUGCCCCGCCCUCCCUCUAUUCGGAGGGGGGGGGGGGGGGGGGUUUUGGGUUGGGCACUUCCUGUCACUAAUGGCGUCACUUCCUGUCUCUACCGAUGUCGCUUCCUGGCACUAACGGCACCGCUUCCUGUCGCUAAUGACAUUGCUUCCUGUCGCUAAUGACGUCACUUCCUGUCGCUAAUGAUGUCACUUCCUGCGGCUACAGAAGGCUCUUCCGGACAAUGCUGACAUCGCUUCUUGUCUCUACUGAAGUCACUUCCUGUUGCUGUUGAGGCCACUUCCUGUCGCUAACGGCGUCACUUCCUGUUGCUGCUGACACCGCUUCCUGUCACUGACGCCACUUCCUGUCUCUGCAGGUGUCAGUUCCUGCCACUACUGACGUCACUUCCAUCUCUACUGACAUCACUUCCUGUUGCUGCUCACGUCACUUCCUACCAUUAUUGCUGUCACUUCCUGUUGCUAUUGAUGUCACUUCCUGUUGCUACUGACGUCACUUCCUGGCACUACUGAUGUCACUUCCUGUUGCUGUUGAUGUCACUUCCUGACUCUACUGACCUAUCUUCCUGGCACUACUGACGUCACUUCCUGUUGCUGUUGAUGUCACUUCCUGGCACUACUGACCUGUCUUCCUGACACUACGACGUCACUUCCUGGCACUACUGACGUCACUUCCUGUUGCUGUUGACGUCACUUCCUGAGUCUACUGACAUCGCUUCCUGGCACUACUGACGUCACUUCCUGUUGCUGUUGACAUCACUUCCUGACUCUACUGACGUCACUUCCUGGCACUACUGUCGUCACUUCCUGUUGCUGUUGACGUCACUUCCUGAAACUACUGACCUGUCUUCCUGGCACUACUGACGUCACUUCCUGGCACUACUGACGUCACUUCCUGUCUCUACUGAUGCCACUUCCUGCUGCUGCUGACGUCACUUCCUUUCGCUGGUUGGGAUGGGGGUCACAUGGCACUGUUCUGAGCUACCUCAGCUGUUUCCCCCACUGACCCCAUUGACCCCAUUGACCCCAUAUUGACCCCAUUGUCCUCACUGACCCUACUGGGGUCCCAUUGACCCCAUUGAGGCCCCAUUGUCCCCAUUGACCCCAUUGGGGCCCCAUUGACCACAUUGGGGCUCCAUUGACCCCAUUGGGGCCCCAUUGAUCUCAUUGACAAUAUUGGGAUCCCAUUGACCCCAUUGGGACCCCAUUGGGACCCCAUUGUCCCCACUGACCCCAUUGGGACCCCAUUGACCCCACUGACCCCCAUUGACCCCAUUGGGACCCCACGGUCCCCACUGACCCCAUUUUGACCUCACUGACCCCCAUUGACCCCAUUGUGACCCCACUGACACUGUUGGGACCCUAUUGUCCCCAUGGGACCCCAUUGACCCCAUUGGGGCCCCAUUGUCCCCAUUGACCCCAUUGGGACCCCAUUGUCCCCAUUGAGCCCACUGGGACCGCAUUGACCCUAUUGGGACUCCAUUGACCCCAUUGGGACCCCAUUGUCCCCAUUGGUCGGAUUGUGACCCUAUUGACCCCAUUGUGACCCCAUUGACCCCAUUGGGACCCCGUUGACCCCAUUGUCCUCACUGACCCUACUCGGGUCCCAUUGACCCCCAUUGACCCCAUUGGGACCCCAUUGGGACCCCAUUGACCCCAUUGUGACCCCAUUGUCCCUAUUGACCCCAUUGGGACCCCAUUGUCCCCAUUGAUCGGAUUGGGACCCCAUUGGGACCCCAUUGACCCCAUUGUGGCCCCAUUGAUUCCAUUGGGACCACUUUGGGACCCCCUUGUUCUCAUUGACCCUAUUGGGAUCCCAAUGACCCCAUUGGGGCCCCAUUGAUCUCAUUGACCCUAUUGGGAUCCCAUUGACCCCAUUGAGGCCCCAUUGACCCCAUUGGGGCCCCAUUGACCACAUUGGGGCUCCAUUGACCCCAUUGGGGCCCCAUUGAUCUCAUUGACACUAUUGGGAUCCCAUUGACGCCAUUGGGACCCCAUUGUCCUUAUUGACCCUACUGGGGUCCCAUUGACCCCAUUGGGACCCCAUUGGGACCCCAUUGUCCCCACUGACCCCAUUGGGACCCCAUUGACCCCACUGACCUCCAUUGACCCCAAUGGGACCCCACGGUCCCCACUGACCCCAUUUUGACCCCACUGACCCCCAUUGACCCCAUUGUCCCCAUUGACCCCAUUGUGACCCCACUGACACUAUUGGGACCCCAUUGUCCCCAUUGGGACCCCAUUGACCCCAUUAUCCCCCAUUGACCCCCACUGUGGGGCAUACAUAGGGCCGGGGCUGACCCCAUAAGGACCUCAGUGACCCCAUAGGGACCUCAGUGACCCCAUAGGGAUCUCAGUGACCCCAUAGGGACCUCAGUGACCCCAUAGGGUCCUCAGUGCCCCACAGCGGUGUGGGUGACCCCAUUGGGACGCGGUGACCCCAAAUGGUGCCGGCGGCCCCAUAAGUGUGGGGCGGUGCUGUGGGGCGGCUGUGGGGCGGCGCGCGGUGGUGGUGCGUAAUAAAGGAGUGAGUGCACGGCUCUGCCCCAUGGAUGGCCCCAUAGCGGCCCCAUAGAGACCCCACAGAGCCCCAUAGGGACCCCACAGUGACCCCUUACAGACCCCAUAGAGCCCCAUAGUGCCCCCAUAGACCCCAAUAGAGCCCCAAAGACACCCCAUAAAGACCCAUAGGAACCCACAGAGCCCCAUAGAGACCCAUAGGGACACACAGAGCCCCAUAGAGACCCCACAGAGACCCCAUAGAGACCCCAUAGAGCCCCCCACACCCCACAGUGCCCCAUAGAGACCCAUAGGGACACACAGAGCCCCAUAGAGACCCCAAAACCUUACAAGACCCCAUAAAGACCCCAUAGAGGCCCCCUAGAGACCCACAGUGCCCCAUAGAGACCUUAUAGAGACCCCCAAACACCACAGUGCCCCAUAGAGACCCAGAGACCCCAUAGAGACCCCAAAACCCCACAGAGACCACACAGAGGCCCCAUAGAGACCCAGAGUGCCCCAUAGAGACCCCAUAGAGAUCCCGAAAUCCCACAGUGCCCCACAGAAACCCCAUAGAGAUCCCACAGAGACCCACAGUGCCCCAUAGAGACCCCCAAACCCCACAGAGACUCCAUAGAGACCCAAAGUGCCCCAUAGAGACCCCAUAGAGCCCCCCAAACCCCACAGUGCCCCAUAGAGACCCACAGUGCCCCAUAGAGACCCACACUGCCCCAUAGAGCCCCAGAGACCCACACUGCCCCAUAGGGACCCAUAGAGACCCCAUAGAGACCCCCAAACCCCAGAAAGACCCCACAGAGCCCCCAUAGAGACUCAUAGAGACCCACAGUGCCCCAUAGAGACCCCACAGAGGCCCCAUAGAGACCCUCAGUGCCCCAUAGAGACCCCAUAAAGACCCCUAAACCCCACAAAGACCCCACAGAGCCCCCAUAGAGACCCACAGUGCCCCAUAGAGCCCCACAGAGCCCCACAGUGCCCCAUAGAGACCCCCAAACCCCACAGAGACACCACAGAGCCCCCAUAGAGACCCCCAAAACCCACAGUGCCCCAUAGAGACCCCAUAGAGACCCACAGUGCCCCAUAGAGACCCACAGUAGACCCCAUAGAGACCCACACUGCCCCAUAGAGCCCCACAGAGACCCGCAAUGCCCCAUAGAGACCGACAGUGCCCCAUAGAGACCCACACUGCCCCAUAGAGCCCCAUAGAGACCCACAGUGCCCCAUAGAGACCCCGAAACCCCAUAGAGACUCCACAGAGCCCCCAUAGAGCCCCAUAGAGACCCACAGUGUCCCAUAGAGACCCCAUAGAGACCCCAUAGAUACCCACAGUGCCCCAUAGAGCCCCGCAAACCCCACAGAGACCCCAAAGAGACCCAAAGUGCCCCAUAGAGCCCCAUAGAGACCCACAGUGUCCCAUAGAGCCCCAUAGAGACCCACAGUGCCCCAUAGAGCCCCAUAGAGACCCCAUAGAGACCCACAGUGCCCCAUAGAGACCCCGAAACCCCAUAGAGACCCCACAGAGCCCCCAUAGAGACCCCAUAGAGACCCAAAGUGCCCCAUAGAGCCCCAUAGAGACCCACAGUGUCCCAUAGAGCCCCAUAGAGACCCACAGUGCCCCAUAGGGACCCAUAGAGACCCCAUAGAAACCCCCAAACCCCACAGAGACCCCACAGAGCCCCCAUAGAGACCCACAGUGCCCCAUAGAGACCCCCAAACCCCACAGAGACCCCAUAGAGACCCAAAGUGCCCCAUAGAACCCCAUAGAGCCCCCCAAACCCCAAAGUGCCCCAUAGAGCCCCCAUAGAGACCCACAGUGCCCCAUAGAGCCCCAUAGAGACCCCACAGUGCCCCAUAGAGACCCCAUAGAGACCCCACAGAGCCCCCAUAGAGACCCACAGAGCCCCAUAGAGACCCCAGAGACUCACAGUGCCCCAUAGAGACCCCCAAACCCCACAGAGACCCCAUACAGACCCCACAGUGCCCCAUAGAGACCCCAUAGAGCCCCCCAAACCCCACAGAGACCCCAUAGAGACCCAAAGUGCCCCAUAGAGACCCCAUAGAGACCCCAUAGAGACUCACAGUGCCCCAUAGAGACCCCAUAGAGCCCCCCAAACCCCACAGUGCCCCAUAGAGACCCCAUAGAGACCCACAGUGCCCCAUAGAGACCCCGAAACCCCACAGAGACCCCACAGAGCCCCCCAACCCCCCCCCCCCAUACACACACACACAUUUUGGGUC